UACGUAGGGGGCAAGCGUUGUCCGGAAUCAUUGGGCGUAAAGCGCGUGUAGGCGGCUUGGUAAGUCUGCUCUGAAAGCCCGGGGCUCAACCCCGGGAGGCGGGUGGAUACUGUCAAGCUCGAGUCCGGAAGAGGAGUGUGGAAUUCCUGGUGUAGCGGUGAAAUGCGUAGAGAUGCGGAGGAACACCGAUGGCGAAGGCAGCCCCCUGGGCUAAGACUGACGCUGAGGCACGAAAGCGUGGGGAGCAAACAGG
rnacentral:rRNA from 1 species